rnacentral:rRNA from 1 species
UUGACCUCAAAUCAGGUAGGACUACCCGCUGAACUUAAGCAUAUCAAUAAGCGGAGGAAAAGAAACUAACAAGGAUUCCCCUAGUAACUGCGAGUGAAGCGGGAAAAGCUCAAAUUUAAAAUCUGGCGGUCUUGCGGCCGUCCGAGUUGUAAUCUGGAGAAGCGUUUAUCCGCGUCGGACCGUGUACAAGUCUUCUGGAAGGGAGCGUCGUAGAGGGUGAGAAUCCCGUCUUUGACACGGACAACCGGUGCUUUUGUGAUGCGCUCUCGAAGAGUCGAGUUGUUUGGGAAUGCAGCUCAAAAUGGGUGGUAAAUUCCAUCUAAAGC